rnacentral:rRNA from 1 species
GAGGAAUCUUGCGCAAUGGGCGAAAGCCUGACGCAGCGACGCCGCGUGAGGGAUGAAGGCCUUCGGGUUGUAAACCUCUGUCAGGGGGGAAGAACCCGGAGUCGGUGAAUAACCGGCUCCGCUGACGGUACCCGCAGAAGCCGCUGCGGCUAACUACGUGCCAGCAGCCGCGGUAAUGCGUAGGCAGCGAGCGUUGUUCGGAAUUACUGGGCGUAAAGCGAGGGUAGGCGGUCUGCCAAGUCUGUUGUGAAAUCUCCCGGCUCAACUGGGAGGGUGCAACGGAAACUGGCAGGCUUGAGUGCGGGAGAGGAGAGUGGAAUUCCUGGUGUAGCGGUGAAAUGCGUAGAUAUCAGGAGGAACACCGGUGGUGAAGACGGCUCUCUGGACCGCUACUGACGCUGAGACUCGAAAGCGUGGGGAGCAA